AUGGUGUAAUAAACACUUUCAAACUUUGCGCCAGGAGAUGAGAGUUGUGAUGAUCAAAAGAACUACCUGAUUAAGAACCAAAAAUUGCCUGAAGGGUGAAGAAGAAGAUGGAAAGAGACAAAGAGAAAUGGCCAGGAAAAAGUUCACAAAAGCGAUCUGGAUUAUGUACAUGAGCAUCAACAAUUACUACCAGAACAACAUUCCUGGUGGUCUGCACACUUUUCCAGGAUGCUGAACUGCAGCCAUACCUGGACCAGCUUUACUUGUUGUGAAGGCUGGAAGAAGCAGUAUUUCCUGCUGCUUUGCCUCAGGCACCAAAAUAACUUGGGCCAGGCCUGAGUGAUACAGUGGUGUCUCAUACAGCCAUCUCUAAGGCUGAAUGAGAAGGGGUGUUGCUCAGUAGUAGCACAUCUGUCUUUCAUGGAUCUUGUCCAGAUUCAAUCUACCUGUCUCCAUCUAAAAAAAGAAUGGGUGGCAGGGCAGAGCUGGAUCUCCACCUGAGACCUUAGAAAACCUGUAGCAACAAUCCAAGUAAACAGUGCUGACCUCUUAAAGAUUUUAAUGUGUUUGCUUUCACCCACAUGGCAUACACAACCACACACAGGGGCAAUAAACUGCCACAGCUGUGCCAGAAAGCCUCAGCUUCUCCAAGUAAACAGUAGUUGGAUCAAUGAUCUGAAGCGGUGCAAGAUAGCCCUUUGUACUUUACACAGCAGCAACUGCUUGUAUUGGGACAAGAUCAUUAGCUGUAUGUUCCUCUCCAGUUUCCAGCAUAUAAACACUUCUGCAGCCCUUACCUACCCUAUUUAUUGUAGCUCACCAGACGCACAGCUGUGUUGCUUUAUUACCACAGUUGUAUGAUUUUAGAUAUUGCUAAAAUAAUUAAAGCCUAAAGAGUAAUCACUGUGUCUACUCUUUUGAAGGCUGGUCAGCCUAGGAAAUGCUCUUGUUUAUGCUGGAUCGUGCUAAAAGCAGCUUGUUGCUUAUGCUGUCAAUUUGGGGUGGGGGUGGGGGAGUGUUUUGUAAACAGCCUUUGCAAUGAAAGACUCUGUGUUGUUUCUUCACUUUAAAGUAUGUCAAAGGGGCAAAGCUGAAGGGUGAACACGUUGCCAACCAUCAUUUCAAAAAUGUCAAUCUCUCCUUCUAACUAUAUCCAUCCAUGCAGCCACCCACUCCCACCAAGUAGAUCAAAAUGUGUUCUACUUUAUUUGUAGAGAGAUGAUUCUGUAUUGUACAUUGCAGCAAACUCCACAAAAUAUCAUUCCCAAAAGAAAAUGAAGUAGGAAGCAUGCACCUGGAAUAAAAAAUACUGCGCCUAUAAACCCUCGUUGAUUCCAAUGGGAAGAAUAAAGCAUGUAUUUAAGUUCUUCCACUGAGAAGUAAGCAAAAAGCAGUGAAUUAUUAAGACAUGUUUACUUUUAUCCCGAGCCCACAGUAUUUUAUCUAAUUUGUUUAGGUUCUCUUCAAAACCUUCCAAAUUGGUUGCCAUUCUUGUUCCAAUUUAUGUUUAGAAAGUAUGUUUGGAAUCAUAGAAUUGGAAGAGACCUUAAGGGCCAACCAGUCCAACCCCAUGAUAUGCAGGAAUACAGAAUGAAAGCAGCCAUGACAGAUCACUUCAUAAAGACAGAAAUGUGUGCAUCAUGACAAUUAUCUGCACCACCACUGACUUGGUGUGUGAAGCUGGGAGUCAAAGCCAGUCUUGGACUUUUCUAGAAAAGGGGGAAGAGCCAUAUAAAGGAGGAAGUAGAGUUGCCAGUCAUGGGCAGGUGUGCUACCCUAAGAGAAGCUAAGUCAGCUUGCUCAGCACACCAAUUUUGAAGGUGCUUGCUCAUGAACGUCAACUAAGGAGUCAAGCUAGAAAGCCUGCAGCAUUUGCACAUGACUGAAAGAUUCAGAUUCGUGUGAUUCAUACUAUUUAAAGAUGAACCUACAAUUUUAGAAAGUGACAUGGAACCUGUACUCAGAGUACUUGGGGGAAGUAAAUCACCAGGAACAAAUGGCAUAACAAUAGACCUGCUUUAAGCUACAGAGGCAGAAUCUACUGUAGUUCUAACUAAAUAUCUGUCAACAAAUAUGGAAAACAAAAAAAAAUGGCCCACAGAUUGGAAACACUCCAUAUACAUUCCAAUCCUCAAGAAAGGGGACACCAGGGAUUGCAGUAAUCACAAGCCCACUGAGUGAAUUUCCCAUGCAUAUAUAAGAGACACCAUUCUACUAUGCCACUGUAUUUAAUGGGAUUUGAGCAUGCAUGGAUUUUGGUAUCCAUGUGGGAUCCUAGAACCAAACCCCAGCGGAUACCAAGGGUACUGGAAAUAUUUAAAACUUCGGACAAUUUAGGGGUGAUUUACACUUCCCAUAACACUUUCUUACUAAUUGUCAUUAUGGUGAAGUGAUAUUUCAAUGUAAAUUAAAAUAGCAGCACUCUCAUAUGCACUCUCUCAGACCUCAGACUGUUGUAAUUUGACUUUUCCAUUUCUUGCCCCUGCUAUAUGUAAUUUGUAUUGUUUACUCCCAUGUAGUGAUGUUUUUAAUCUUAUACUGUAAUGUUUUUAACUCUGUAUUUUACUGUUUUAAUCCUCUGUAAACCGCCUUGAUCAUACCCAUGGAAA